AGGCUGCUUUCAUUACUUUGAUGGGAUACAUGUGCUUGGCUUUAUCUCCGGCCCUUUCUCCGUAAUUCAGCGCUUGAACGUCUCAGCUGUCGGCCGAUCUGCAGACAAUUGCUUGGGGGUCACCAAGGACUGAGAUGAUUCAGAAUGUGGAAGCUCACUGCCUCCCUUGGCUUCUUCGCCGCCCCUCCCCCUCUCUAGGCCUGCUUCCAGUCUGUAGUUCACCUGCUUCCAAAACCUCGACCUUCAUCACGAACACAGAUCCAAGCUGAGGUACUCAAGAGUCACACCUGAGACCCCAAGACAGGUGGAAGGACGUUGGACCCCAGGACCUAGGACUGUGCAAUCAAUGCUCCCACCCCACAGCAGACCCUCACUCCCAGUCCUUUGGCUCCCAGGACCCAUUUUCUUCUCCAGGAAGCUCAUGGCCUCUAUCUUGCCAGGUCUCCUGGAGUUUCCCAGCUGGACAGAAAGUUCAGAUGAGAGGGGACCAAAAGCCUUUACAUACAACCAGCAUUGCAGAAGCCUCUGGAAUCUUCUCCUGCCAUGUUCUUAGCCAUCAGAAGCAGCUAGGGCAUUUGUGAGCUGGGUUGAGGCUGGGACAACAGGGGACCUGGGGACUGUUAAGAAGCAAGAACAUGUCUGCUUCUUUUAUGACCUUCAAUAUUAGCCACCAGGAAGUUGCCCCAUGAAGCCCACGACCUCGUAUCACUAACUCGGCUUGAAUUGAUUAAGGAGACUGGGAUGAGAAUAAUUAGAGACCUUUCUGUUGAUGACAUCUCGUCUCCUGGUGGUGGAAUUUGCUUCUGCAUCCUCUGGCAUCCCCUUAGGUCCCCACAGAUACUACUAGCAGGUUCUGUCUUCCCAAAGCACCUCGGUUCUAUGGCAGGACAGGGUUAGUGAGCCCUCUGAUUGUGGUACAUGGCCUCAGGGCUAAAGGGAGGACAGGGAGAAAGCUUCUGUUUGCAUCUGCCUUGUCUUGCAUCCUUAUUUUCUUCUCAAUUUCUGUGCUCUCUGUCCUUUUGUUUUUAAACCUCAUUGACACCAGGAAUGCUAAUUUUCCAAACAUUAUAAGCAAACAUUCAGGGGGUAGGGAGCACCACAUUAAAACUUCCACGCCAAAGGCUUAAGUUUCCAUCUUAAGUUUCUAAGCAUGCUAUCCCAGUGUCUAUGUGAAGUCCCCAGUGUCUCCCAUGAUUCUCCUGCUAAUCAUGAUGGGGACCCAGCACUCAGCAAGGUCCCACCCUCUCUCCAUAAUCAUACACAAGUAUGCGCAAACCCAGCUGAGCAAUUAUGAAUAAUUAAAUCAAUUAGAGACAGUCUAGCAGGAGGGAUUAUGGUCGUUCGGGUGUGGGCCUCUGUAAUAUUUUAACAGUAAAUGCAUGGGCCCCAGAGAGGCCUGGCAGGGAGACAGGAACAAAAGCAUGUCCAAAUGCCAAGCCAUGUUGCUGGGUGACCCUCCCUGGCUGUAUCGCCGCCUGCCCAGGGAAGACAAUGCUAAUGAAAUGCCAAUAAAAUAUUUUGAAGGAAAGUA
rnacentral:lncRNA from 1 species